GCCCCGAUACUCCAAUCCGGCAGAGAGAGCGAGCUCAAACCUCGUACAGUGUGGGUUCGAGUCCCACUCGGGGCA
rnacentral:tRNA from 1 species